CAGUCGCCGCGGGAACACGUAGGUGGCAAGCGUUGUCCGGAAUUAUUGGGCGUAAAGGGCCCGCAGGCGGUUUCUUAAGUCUGAUGUGAAAGCCCCCGGCUCAACCGGGGAGGGUCAUUGGAAACUGGGAAACUUGAGUGCAGAAGAGGAGAGUGGAAUUCCACGUGUAGCGGUGAAAUGCGUAGAGAUGUGGAGGAACUCCAGUGGCGAAGGCGACUCUCUGGUCUGUAACUGACGCUGAGGAGCGAAAGCGUGGGGAGCGAACAGGAUUAGAGACCCCUGUAGUCCCUGUCUCUUAUAC
rnacentral:rRNA from 1 species